ACUAAGCAUAUCAAUAAGCGGAGGAAAAGAAACUAACAAGGAUUCCCCUAGUAACUGCGAGUGAAGCGGGAAAAGCUCAAAUUUAAAAUCUGGCAGUCUCUGGCUGUCCGAGUUGUAAUCUAGAGAAGUAAUGCCCGUGCUGGACCGUGUAUAAGUCUCCUGGGAUGGGGCGUCAUAGAGGGUGAGAAUCCCGUCUUUGACACGGACUACCAGUGCAUUGUGGUAUGCUCUCAAAGAGUCGAGUUGUUUGGGAAUGCAGCUCAAAAUGGGUGGUAAAUUCCAUCUAAAGCUAAAUAUUGGCGAGAGACCGAUAGCGAACAAGUACCGUGAGGGAAAGAUGAAAAGAACUUUGGAAAGAGAGUUAAACAGUACGUGAAAUUGCUGAAAGGGAAACGCUUGAAGUCAGUCGCGUUGGCCGGGAAUCAGCCUUGCUUUUGCAUGGUGUACUUUCUGGUUGACGGGUCAGCAUCAAUUUUGACUGCUGGAAAAAGGCCUGGGGAAUGUGGCAGCUCCGGCUGUGUUAUAGCCCCUAGUCACAUACAGUGGUUGGGAUUGAGGAACUCAGCACGCCGCAAGGCCGGGUUUCGACCACGUUCGUGCUUAGGAUGCUGGCAUAAUGGCUUUAAGCGACCCGUCUUGAAACACGGACCAAGGAGUCUAACAUGCCUGCGAGUAUUUGGGUGGAAAACCCAAGUGCGUAAUGAAAGUGAAAGUUGAGAUCCCUGUCGUGGGGAGCAUCGACGCCCGGACCAGAACUUUUGGGACGGAUCCGCGGUGGAGCAUGUAUGUUGGGACCCGAAAGAUGGUGAACUAUGCCUGAAUAGGGUGAAGCCAGAGGAAACUCUGGUGGAGGCUCGUAGCGAUUCUGACGUGCAAAUCGAUCGUCAAAUUUGGGUAUAGGGGCGAAAGACUAAUCGAACCAUCUAGUAGCUGGUUCCUGCCGAAUUCCC
rnacentral:rRNA from 1 species